CGAACGGAAAGUGCCCAGCUUGCUGGGUGACUCGAGUGGCGAACGGGUGAGUAACACGUGGGUGAUCUGCCCUGCACUUUGGGAUAAGCCUGGGAAACUGGGUCUAAUACCGAAUACACCCUGCUGGUCGCAUGGCCUGGUGGGGGAAAGCUUUUGCGGUGUGGGAUGGCCCGCGGCCUAUCAGCUUGUUGGUGGGGUGAUGGCCUACCAAGGCGACGACGGGUAGCCGGCCUGAGAGGGUGUCCGGCCACACUGGGACUGAGAUACGGCCCAGACUCUACGGGAGGCAGCAGUGGGGAAUAUUGCACAAUGGGCGCAAGCCUGAUGCAGCGACGCCGCGUGAGGGAUGACGGCUUCGGGUUGUAAACCUCUUUCAAUAGGGACGAAGCGUGAGUGACGGUACCUAUAGAAGAAGCACCGGCCAACUACGUGCCAGCAGCCGCGGUAAUACGUAGGGUGCGAGCGUUGUCCGGAAUUACUGGCGUAARWUCUCGCUAGGSUGGUUUGUCGCGYUUGUUCGUGAAAACUACA
rnacentral:rRNA from 1 species